rnacentral:rRNA from 1 species
CUGGGGAACCUGCCCCAUAGUCUGGGAUACCACUUGGAAACAGGUGCUAAUACCGGAUAAGAAAGCAGAUCGCAUGAUCAGCUUUUAAAAGGCGGCGUAAGCUGUCGCUAUGGGAUGGCCCCGCGGUGCAUUAGUUAGUUGGUAAGGUAAAGGCUUACCAAGGCGAUGAUGCAUAGCCGAGUUGAGAGACUGAUCGGCCACAUUGGGACUGAGACACGGCCCAAACUCCUACGGGAGGCAGCAGCC